GACGAACGCUGGCGGCGUGCCUAAUACAUGCAAGUCGAGCGAAUCUUUUGGGAGCUUGCUCCCAAAAGAUUAGCGGCGGACAGGUGAGUAACACGUGGGCAACCUGCCUAUAAGACUGGGAUAACUUCGGGAAACCGGAGCUAAUACCGGAUACGUUCUUUUCUCGCAUGAGAGAAGAUGGAAAGACGGUCUCGGCUGUCACUUAUAGAUGGGCCCGCGGCGCAUUAGCUAGUUGGUGAGGUAAUGGCUCACCAAGGCGACGAUGCGUAGCCGACCUGAGAGGGUGAUCGGCCACACUGGGACUGAGACACGGCCCAGACUCCUACGGGAGGCAGCAGUAGGGAAUCUUCCGCAAUGGACGAAAGUCUGACGGAGCAACGCCGCGUGAACGAAGAAGGCCUUCGGGUCGUAAAGUUCUGUUGUUAGGGAAGAACAAGUACCAGAGUAACUGCUGGUACCUUGACGGUACCUAACCAGAAAGCCACGGCUAACUACGUGCCAGCCGCCGCAGUAACAC
rnacentral:rRNA from 1 species